CCUACGGGGGGCUGCAGUAAGGAAUAUUGGUCAAUGGACGCAAGUCUGAACCAGCCAUGCCGCGUGGAGGAUGAAGGUCCUCUGGAUUGUAAACUUCUUUUAUUUGGGAAGAAACUCCCGAUUUCCAUCGGGAUUGACGGUACCAGAUGAAUAAGCACCGGCUAACUCCGUGCCAGCAGCCGCGGUAAUACGGAGGGUGCCGGCGUUAUCGGGAUUCACUGGGGCUGAGGGGUGCGUAGGUGUCCGUGGUGAAAUCUCCGGGCUUAACCCGGAAACUGCCAUUGAUACUAUUUGUCUUGAAUACUCUGGAGGUGAGCGGAAUAUGUCAUGUAGCGGUGAAAUGCUUAGAUAUGACAUAGAACACCCAUUGCGAAGGCAGCUCACUACGGAAAUAUUGACGCUGAGGCACGAAAGCGUGGGGAUCAAACAGGAUUAGAUACCCGUGUAGUC
rnacentral:rRNA from 1 species